rnacentral:piRNA from 1 species
UGAUCAUGGUGGUGUACCUGAAGGUCACUGU